ACAAUCAAACAAUGAAUUUAUUUGCAGGAUACAUUUACCACACAUAGAAAACAAUACUUAUUGUUUGGUUGAUUAAAUAGAGAAAAAAGCAAAACAAAACCACAAUACAUUAUUCAAAGUGUUCCAUAUAUUCGUUAGCUGACAUUUUCAAAAUGAAGCUUUCUUUUUUUUUUGUCUUUUUAAAAAAAAAAAAAACAAAAAAAACCAAACAAACCCCACGAUCAUGAACAAUGCAUAGUGGGAACAAAGGGUCUAGAAAUCUAACAUUCCACAGCUGUGAGUCAGUGAGAAAAAUAAGGCUAUGUAGAGGAAAAAAACCCCACAGUGAAUUCAAAACAAUACAUAUUCCACUGACAGGCUUCAGAUAAGAUCAUCUGAGCAUGUGAAAUAUAAAAGCAAAGUUAUGUAGGGAAAAGAGGAAUUUAAAAUAUUAACAAACAACUUGGGAAGGAAGAAACUCGAUUUCUCUAGUGAUGCCUUAGAAAUAGCCUCCAAACUUUCAAACUAGUAUCAAACAAAGGUCAAUUACACUAUGGUGCUGUAAAAAAACAACCCAAGAUGAACAUCUAGAGGUGAGAAAUAUCAAAGUCCGUUUUGCUAAAUAAGCUACACCUACCUAUACCACUUAUUCAGCACAUAUUUAUCAGUGGAAUGACAAAGUGUUAAAAAACCCAAAAGUUUGAUCACCAGUCACUGAAUGAUUCAGUGAAGGGCUGGAAAACAUAUCUGCAUGCUCCAAAAUGUUAAUUACAAGUUCUUUUCACUUUUCAUGCCAAUGUAAAUGGAAUGAAUGGAAUUGCAGUGUCAUAUCCUGCUCUUUGUUCCUGUCCUUUCACACUAGGUCAGCAGUGCGAAGGUUUCAUAAAGCUGCCAUAAACAGGUUCUUCACUGCCCUUAGUCGCUGCCAUCUGCUCUUCACAUGAUCGUAGUGGACGAGUCCAAGGAACAAGAAAGAGUCACAGAGCUGCUGUUUUCUGGCAGUCUCUAGUACAAUGCUUCCCAAAUACUGCAUUAGUACAGGAUAUGUAUCACAGAUAACUCAGCCACAUUAAAUAACUAAUCUAUAGGUACUGUUACAUGAAAUUCAGAAUCAAGAGAGUAGAAAAUAACUAAUAUUGGAUCUUACCUGAGUUAGAUUCAGCUUCCUUACUCACAAGGUCACAAGAAAAAAGCUGAGGCAAGACUGGUUGUGGAAACUGGUCUGAAUGCAGGUGUAUAGAAUAUAUAAAUAACUAUUUAUUUCUAGAGUUUAAUUUACAUCUUUUUAAAACAACUGAAUACAGGUGAUGCAAUAAAAACCUUUAUAACCCUUCAUCUGCCACAAAUGAUAUCCAAAUUAAAUCUUUCAGAGAGAAGACACAGAAUUUAUUUAGAAAAAUAUUUGCUACAGGUCACCCUUUGCCGUUGUGUAAAUAUAUAUAAGAAACUACUGGGAGAACUUGAAUUGUUGAUAUGCUAAACUGAACAAAAAUAUACCCUUAUUUCAAGAAAGCUGAAACACCCUGACUGCCAUGGGGAUGUCUGUCCUGAUAACAUUAUUUUUCAGUAUACUCUACCUAGUCUCACUCAUGCCAGUUAUCAUUCAGAACAGCACAGACAGCAGCAUUUAGAGUGAUGGAUUCUAAGGUUGACCUCUUUUAGUUACCCUGGAAAAUCUGUGUUUAUUAUACUUAUAGCUGAGGCCUCACAGAAAGCAAGAAACACAUUUUAAACACCAGCUGAACAAAACUCAUGCAGCUGUGGUUACAUUAUGUCCAUCACUCAUUUUCCGGUAAUAAAUACGUUAGCUCAGUUAUGGGAGAAAAACAUAGAUGCAAUUUUAAAAUUCAAAGAAAGCCAUGGAAUUCAUAGAGAGAAGGAAAUAAAAAAAAAUAGCCUACACUGCACAUUAUAGAGGACUGCUGUAAGUUAUGCCUAAAAAAAGCAGCAGUAUAGACUGUGGUUGUGUAUAUAUCUAUUAUAUGUAUGUGUACAUGUGUACGCACACAUAUACACAAACACAGAAUUGUCAUCACUGAAAAAAAAUGACUCUCAAUACAGUCGUCUGUUUCAUUGUAGAUAAAAAGGAUAACAGAUUUUCCACCAUGGUUCAUAAAUUUGGGCUGACAAAUCUGCAAGUUCACCUAUACCUUUCCUAGUGAAGAUUCUUCAUUUAACUUGUACAGAAGCAAGCUGGUUUUAAUUUCUUAACUUAGCAGAGUGUGCAACAUCCCACAUGCUAAUAAUUUAGCCAUUUUCAUCUCAUAUCAUGCAUUAUCAAAACAUGCUGCAGAAGUCGUUGCUGAUAUAAAAAAAAAUCUCAUAAAAAACCAAGUCAGAACAAUGACUGAUUAUAAUAAUGAAAUUCUUCUGGCAAUUUUCAAGUAAGAGCUACAUAUAACAGUUCCCAAUGUUAGACAUUAUUUUUUCCAUCUGAUACAGAUUUAAAAUGCAUAGUAUAUACAUACAUAGUAGUAUCCAUCCAAUCUUUAAGAGUGUUCUGUUUUAUACUCAGCCAAUAUGCCCUAUAAUUAUAUUGAUGGAUUCUGUAUUAAAGAAUACAUUACUUGCUGAGGGGCUAAUUAGAAUGAGAUGUGGAAAGAUUUCAUUUUAAUGAAAGGCUUCCUUUCAAUUUUUACAAAAACAGAAGAAACAUUGCAAAUACUCCAAAGUAAAAAUCCAACACACAAAAACCACUGUGUCCUUCUGUGUUCUCUCUCGCUAAACAAACAAGAACCCAGCAAAACUGCUCCCAGUAGCUGUAUGUAUGGUAUGUGCUUAUCAGAAUGUAAUCCAUGUUAGGAUUAUAGGAGAAUGAAAUGGAUCCACUGAACAACUGUUUUUUCAGAGUGGUCCAACUUCACUAUUACCUUUGCCCAUAGGUAAUCUAAAGUGUGCUGGGUCACCAUUCAUACCCAGUUUGUUUAAAGUCUUCAUUCAAAGCACCUGUACAUAUCUAAAUCAACCCUUAUUUAGUAAACUCCAGCACAUGGAGAAAUGGACUCAGGAAUUAUUUUUAAACACUUCUAGUACUCUCUCGCGUGCAUAAGAUAACCAGAGUCAUUACAGUGUACUAGUGUGUUUUGCUAAAACCAUGACCGGUGUCUUCUCUACCCUCUUUGAUUACGAGGUGAAAACACAAGACUGAAGUUCUACUUAGUAGAACUGUGGCUUUCAGUGAUUGUGUAAAUUAAAAUGGACUGGAUUUAGUUUCCUUUGAUAAAACAUCAUGUUUUGGUAGCACAUUAAAUAACCAGGAACAAACUGCCAGCCUCAUUAUAGCAGAUGUAACUUCUGUAAGUUAAUUCAGAAACUUUGUUUUUUAAAUCUCUUGCCUACAUUUCCAGGAGGGGUACUAUGCUAAAAGGUUCUCCUAAGCAGCUGUAGUAAUCAUGAAUAAAGAUAUAAAGUAUCAAAUUUGAAAUGUUUUCCAUGGAAUAUUUUCAAAAUCACCACAGAUGCAUUUGUUGUUGCUUCAGAUAAUAAGACAGCACUGCAACUCUGAUACAUAAAUAGUAGUUGUUUUGAAAAGUAAAUACCCUGUCUGACUAAAUUGCAC
rnacentral:lncRNA from 1 species